UGCUAAGAUUAAGCCAUGCAUGUCUAAGUAUAAGCAACUAUACGGUGAAACUGCGAAUGGCUCAUUAAAUCAGUUAUCGUUUAUUUGAUAGUACCUUACUACAUGGAUAACCGUGGUAAUUCUAGAGCUAAUACAUGCUAAAAACCUCGACUUCGGAAGGGGUGUAUUUAUUAGAUAAAAAACCAAUGCCCUUCGGGGCUCCUUGGUGAAUCAUAAUAACUUAACGAAUCGCAUGGCCUUGCGCCGGCGAUGGUUCAUUCAAAUUUCUGCCCUAUCAACUUUCGAUGGUAGGAUAGUGGCCUACCAUGGUAUCAACGGGUAACGGGGAAUUAGGGUUCGACUCCGGAGAGGGAGCCUGAGAAACGGCUACCACAUCCAAGGAAGGCAGCAGGCGCGCAAAUUACCCAAUCCCGACACGGGGAGGUAGUGACAAUAAAUACUGAUACAGGGCUCUUUUGGGUCUUGUAAUUGGAAUGAGUACAAUUUAAAUCCCUUAACGAGGAACAAUUGGAGGGCAAGUCUGGUGCCAGCAGCCGCGGUAAUUCCAGCUCCAAUAGCGUAUAUUAAAGUUGUUGCAGUUAAAAAGCUCGUAGUUGAACCUUGGGCCUGGCUGGCCGGUCCGCCUCACCGCGUGUACUGGUCCGGCCGGGCCUUUCCUUCUGGGGAACCUCAUGCCCUUCACUGGGCGUGUUGGGGAACCAGGACUUUUACUUUGAAAAAAUUAGAGUGUUCAAAGCAGGCCUUUGCUCGAAUACAUUAGCAUGGAAUAAUAGAAUAGGACGUGUGGUUCUAUUUUGUUGGUUUCUAGGACCGCCGUAAUGAUUAAUAGGGAUAGUCGGGGGCAUCAGUAUUCAAUCGUCAGAGGUGAAAUUCUUGGAUUGAUUGAAGACUAACUACUGCGAAAGCAUUUGCCAAGGAUGUUUUCAUUAAUCAGUGAACGAAAGUUAGGGGAUCGAAGACGAUCAGAUACCGUCGUAGUCUUAACCAUAAACUAUGCCGACUAGGGAUCGGACGGUGUUAGUAUUUUGACCCGUUCGGCACCUUACGAGAAAUCAAAGUUUUUGGGUUCUGGGGGGAGUAUGGUCGC
rnacentral:rRNA from 1 species